rnacentral:lncRNA from 1 species
AAUGAACUAAAUCAAAUCAAACCAAACCAAACCAAAACCAGCCAGGAACCGUGAAAUUUCCAGACUAUUGGUUAAUCCGCUAAAUUGAUUUCAUUUUUGGUUUUAGGCAUAAAACGAACACAAUCCAUGCACACAACUAAUAAAUACAGAUGAACUAUUAGUGCUUCAACUUUAGUUCUUGAAGAUUUUGGGUACAAAAUUUCCUAGAGUAUACAAAAAAUUUCCUAGUAUAAUUAAAAUGCUAAUAUUAUGAAUACCCUGCUUAGAGUUAGAACUUUGUCUUAAAUACAACUGAUACAUUCUCACCAGAAAGAGCAUAUGUUUGCAAGCUGCCAGCACAAUCUCAAAACCAGAGCAACUAGUACUGGUUUUAACUUCCUCAGCAAAACUGAAUACACGAGCUCAUCGGACUACUUGCUCCGGCCGUAGCCGGUAGAGAGGCAGGGCAACUGAAGAUGCUAGACAGAAACAUCUUGUGUACAUAUCCUAGCCAAUAUCUCAAGGUUAUCUGAGAACAAACGUUUCACAUCCUCAAUGCUCAUCUUGUGUACAUAUCCUAGCCAAUAUCUCAAGGUUAUCUGAGAACAAACGUUUCACAUCCUCAAUGCUCAUCAUCUUUUAGAAACUUUCCUCUUUUUCGAUAUGUUGUUAUGUUUCUGAUCUCUCAUCCUCUUCUUUGAUUGUUUUUGGAGCGAUUUAUUAACCAAAGAUGGUUGUUCCUU